AAGAUACUUUUACAAUAAUAUGUUUAUUCUUAUAAAAGUAUCUUGUUAGUGUUUUUCUAAUAUACAGUAAUAUAAUUUUAAAAUACAGUAAUAUAAUUUAUGUUUUUUAUUUUUUUUUUAUUGCUUUUUUUUUAGUUACAUAGGUUGUUGUACGUAAAGCAGAACUGAUUUGAUAACUGUUAUUUUUAUUGACUGUUGACAAUUUCAAGAUAUAUAUAUUUUUUUUGAUUAUUUAACUUUUUUGUUAUCUUUAGGCCAAUUUGCACAGACUACAGCUGUAUCUACCUCUUGUACUACACCUGUAUCUACCUCUUGUGCUACACCUGGGUGUUAUAACAUCAUAACCACAUCUACGGCCAACUCUAAGAUCACCUUAUUUUGUUUGGCAGUGUUCUGGAAUCAAGUUAUGGCAAUAUUUUAUGUAUAAAAUCUAACAAUUACAUUAAAAAAGUGCUUAUUUUUGACAAAAACUUGUAUUUUCUUAAGGGUUAGAUGGUGUUUCAUUACCCCCUCUGGCUCCCAAGAUACACCCUAC